UUACGGCCAUAUCACGUUGAAACAGCGCUUCCCGUACGAUCGGCAAAGUCAAGCAACAUCGUUCCUGUUUAGUACCUAUAUCGGGGACCGCCUUGAAAUACCAGGUGAUGUAAU